rnacentral:rRNA from 1 species
CCCUUAGAUGUUCUGGGCCGCACGCGUGCUACACUGAGUGGAUCAGCGGGUCAGGUUGCGCGAAAGUGUUUCCUAAUCUUUAAAUCCGCUCGUGAUGGGGAUUGACGGUUGCAAUUUUCCGUCAUGAACGAGGAAUACCUUGUAAGCGCGGGUCAUCAUCCCGCGCUGAAUACGUCCCUGCCCUUUGUACACACCGCCCGUCUCUCCUACCGAUUGAGUGGUCCGGUGAGGCUUUGGGAUCUGAGCGGAAAGAGCGUUUCGCUGUUUCUGCCCGGAAAACUCAGUCGAACCUUAUCAUUUAGAGGAAGGAGAAGUCGUAACA